GACGAACGCUGGCGGCGUGCUUAACACAUGCAAGUCGAACGGAAAGGCCCUGCUUUUGUGGGGUGCUCGAGUGGCGAACGGGUGAGUAACACGUGAGUAACCUUCCCUUGACUUUGGGAUAACUUCAGGAAACUGGGGCUAAUACCGGAUAGGAGCUCCUGCUGCAUGGUGGGGGUUGGAAAGUUCCGGCGGUUGGGGAUGGACUCGCGGUUUAUCAGCUUGUUGGUGGGGUAGUGGCUUACCAAGGCUUUGACGGGUAGCCGGCCUGAGAGGGUGACCGGCCAAAUUGGGACUGGGAUACGGCCCGAACUCCUACGGGGGGCAGCAGUGGGGAAUAUUGCACAAUGGGCGGAAGCCUGAUGCAGCAACGCCGCGUGCGGGAUAACGGCCUUCGGGUUGUAAACCGCUUUCGCCUGUGACGAGGCGUGAGUGACGGUAAUGGGUAAAGAAGCACCGGCUAACUACGUG
rnacentral:rRNA from 1 species